rnacentral:tRNA from 1 species
GGAGGUGUAUCGAAGUGGUCAUAACGAGCUUGACUCGAAAUCAAGUGUACCGCAAGGUACCGUGGGUUCGAAUCCCACCGCCUCCGCCA